rnacentral:rRNA from 1 species
CGUGUAGGCGGUCCGGUAAGUCCGCUGUGAAAGUCGGGGGCUCAACCCUCGGAUGCCGGUGGAUACUGUCGGGCUAGAGUGCGGGAGAGGCGAGUGGAAUUCCUGGUGUAGCGGUGAAAUGCGCAGAUAUCAGGAGGAACACCGAUUGCGAAGGCAGCUCGCUGGAACGUUACUGACGCUGAGACGCGAAAGCGUGGGGAGCAAACA